UGCCAGCCGCCGCGGUAACACGGGGGGCGCAAGCGUUAUUCGGAAUUAUUGGGCGUAAAGGGCGCGUAGGCGGUCUUGUCCGUCAGGUGUGAAAGCUCGGGGCUCAACCCCGGAAGUGCACUUGAAACAGCAAGACUUGAAUACGGUAGAGGAGAGAGGAAUUCCUGGUGUAGAGGUGAAAUUCGUAGAUAUCAGGAGGAACACCGAUGGCGAAGGCAUCUCUCUGGGCCGAUACUGACGCUGAGACGCGAAAGCGUGGGGAGCAAACAGGAUUAGAAU
rnacentral:rRNA from 1 species